GUGCCAGCAGCCGCGGUAAGACGAACCGUACAAACGUUAUUCGGAAUUACUGGGCUUAAAGGGUGCGUAGGCGGCGGUGCAAGUUGGGUGUGAAAUCCCUCGGCUCAACCGAGGAACUGCGCUCAAAACUGCAUCGCUUGAGGGAGAUAGAGGUGAGUGGAACUUAGGGUGGAGCGGUGAAAUGCGUUGAUAUCCUAAGGAACACCAGUGGCGAAAGCGACUCACUGGGUCUCUUCUGACGCUGAGGCACGAAAGCUAGGGUAGCGAACGGGAUUAGAUACCCCGGUAGUCC
rnacentral:rRNA from 1 species